GAACUGAGUAUGAACUCAGACCCCCAUCUCUAACUCGGGAGAUCAUGCUGGGCCAGCUCUCAGCGUCUGCAGUCUUCAUGUGAAGUGGGGAUGGGGGCUUCCAAUACCUGUAUGACAGAGGAUUCAUUUUCCUGUUUAUUAUGAAGAAUGCAGAUUCAGGACAGCAAGAUGGAAAAGGUGCAAUGGGCAGGUUAAGAAACUGAGGAUUCCAGUAGGCACCUAACCUGGCCAAGGUUUCACUACUAUUCGGUCUCUCAUUGGCUGGCCAGUGAACUCCAGAGAUCCAUGUGUGUUUACCUCCCCAGGGCUAGAAAUACAACACGUGACAACACACCUAUCGAUUUUACAUGGGUGCUGUGGAU